AGAGUGUAAACAGCUCAGAUGAGAGUGCCUAUUAGGCACUUAAAACAAUACUGAGACUGAAGAUCUUGUACCUUUCUCCUAACACAAUUCAUUGAUUCUGCAGUAGAAGUGAUUUUAUUGAUUACGUAGUCUUUCCUUCUCAAGUCAAGGGAGACAAGCUCAAGGAAGAGACAAAGUCAAGCAAGCUCGACCCACACUCCUGCGCUUCACAGGGACCCCUGGCCUCAGGCUAGUGCCACCAUCUUCAGGGUGGGUCUCUCAGCUUCAACUAAACCUCUCUAAAAAUCCCCAUGUUGACAUACCCAAAAGUAUGUCUCCCAGGAGAUUUUAAAUCUCGGCAGUGCCUAGAAGGUCUGGAUCAUGACUGCAUCUUCGUAACUGUGUUUUCAAAUGAUACAUCAGCAUGCUCCCAUCUCAUGGCAUCACCAGAACCAGCACCAUCCUUCAUGAUCCUCAUACUUCCUGGUUUAGAAGAUCAAAAGCUGCCAAAAAUUGUUUCAAAAGAAAAAUAAAUCUGAGAGAAGUUGAGUUUGGAAUUACAAGGAAGCUUGCCUGUGUCCACUACUCAAGGAGCCAAGUAAGAGAGAGGGGCUUGCACUGCAGAGCUGGCCUCUCUUCUCUGUUCCCCGAGCACCUAAGAAGCCCUCACUUAGCCUUAUCUCAUGAAGUCUAAUGAGACUAGUUCCCAAAUUAAACUUCACACAAAUGGAGCAGGCAGGAUCAUUUUCCAAAGAAUGUUUAGAAUAGAUGUCUGUCAGUUCCUGGCUAGCCCUACUUAGAUCUGGAAGAUGAGUUCGCAGACUUAAGAGCUUUGAAUGAAGAACUCAGGCUUCCUUUGGGAUCUAAACUCUGUCUCUCUGAGUCAUUGUUUCUCUCUCUCUUACACACACACACACACACACACACACACACACAGGCACACACAUACACAGAGAGAGACACACAGAGACACAAACACACACACACCUAUCACAGGUACCUUUCAGUAUUUCCAUUUUACCUGUUAAGGGUCUGACCAAGGCCACUGAUGCUUCCUAUCUUGACCUGGGAUGGUCAACGGAUUGGGAUCCUUGUCCCUUCAUGUUUCUUGUAGACAUUGGAUUUUGAAGAAGAAUCAGGUCUUAGGAACUAAAGGUAAGACCCUCAUGGGUAGAGAUGGGGCACCUGCUUGAAGACAGAAAUCUAAGAAGGAGGAGAAGAUUCAACACCUCCCAAGAUGUCCUGGGAUGAAGAUGAGAUUGGGUAGAGAACUUCAAGUACAUGGUCCCCACGUCCUAAUGCCUUGGGACUCACUAUUGGAGGUAGAUCUUCCUCCAACCACUAAUUCAGCUGUCUGUAUGGUUCCACACAAAAAUUAGGUGCUAAUAGUUAGAAAAUGCCCAGCAAAACAGGUUAGUGGCAGAAAAAUUAGAAAAUAAUGUCAUAAAUGAAGAAAAAUUAGCAUCAUCUAUAAACCUCUUCCAGUCUGAGAACACAGGGGCAACAUUCAAUAUCAUAUUAAAUUGUGGGUGUGCUCUGAUAUUACAUAUGACAUGCUAGUCAUAUAUACAAAAGCACAUGUGUGUGUAUGUGCACAGUACAAGCUAUUGCAUGUAUUGAUAAGCCCCAUCUUAUGAAAUGUCAGCCUCUGAUUCUUUGAGCUUUCUUUAUAUUGAUGCAAAAGCAGUGACUGUUUGGUGGAAACUCCCAUUCAGUUUUGAAUUUGGACUUUUUUUCUUGGCUGUACUAUAAUAAUCAAAAUUCAACCACUAAUACUAAUUAGUAAUUCCUCC
rnacentral:lncRNA from 1 species